GAGACGGGGUUUCACCGUGUUAGCCAGGAUGGUCUGGAUCUCCUGACCUCGUGAUCCGCCCGUCUCGGCCUCCCAAAGUGCUGGGAUUACAGGCCUGAGCCACCCGCCCGGCCGAGACAGGGUCCUUAAGGGUAGCGGGGCGCUUUCUGGCUUCAUCCUGAUUCACUUGUUUGCCUUCAUGUGAAUCUCCGUAUUUUCUGAAAUAAAACCCAUCCUAAACGACAAGGAUUGUCCAGUAAGGAAAUUCAAGAGAGUUUCAUAUAAGCUUGAAAGUCAUCCAGAAAAGGAAUUAGAAAAAUGCUUUGAACAAUAGCUGCAUUAUUUAAAUCCACUUAUUAGGUGGCUGCUUUGAAGAGACAAAUGCUUAUUGGGGUUUUUAAGUUCUUGUGCACUUGUUUACAGGAGAGAGAGAGAUAAAGGAAUUUGCAUUACAUAUGGGCAUGUCUUGUUGAGAUCAACUAGUCCCCUUUCCUGUGAUGCUUCUUGGACUUGUGCAGAAAACGUUGUCCCUCCUUGCCCUAGGGCCGAGGACCAGCUGACUUCUCACCGGACUGACUCGCAAAACCAUCUACCCAAAGCAUCUCCACUUACCUGGCCAGAGCUUCAUCCUGGCUUCAUCCUGAUUCACUUGUUGUGUAAGGCACAUCACAAGAUGUGCCUUAUCUUGUCCACCUCAGAAUCCUCCAAGGGCCUGGAAAUCACUAGAAAUCAAGACAAGUCAGAUAAAAGGAUUUUGUGCUACUUUCAGGUGUCCAGGAAGUAAAGUUUGGAUGCUGAAAUGUCGAGAUUUACAAGAUGUUUCAGUGGCUUAUGAGAACAACAGAACCAUGUACUUAAAGUGGAAAAUAUAACAGAAAAUCGGAAAAAAAAAAAACUUUCAUGCAGCUGUACAAAUUACUAGGUUAUUGCUCUAACAUCUAUCUGAGGAAACAGGAGUUUUGCUGAAGGACAGGGAUAACCAAUGUGCACCCUGGCUGUCUUGGGAAAUUGUAACACUUGGGGGGGGCAACUGGGAAGAGAGAGGAUGAGGACAUGAGAAGCCAGGGUGUUAAAUGGCAGCAUAAAACAAGGGAAGGCAUAUUAGAGAGGUAGGCAGGUGUGGCAGACACAGCCAACCAUCCAUUCUCCCUAUUUCCCUCAGAACAGCUCACAUGUCCCUCAGGGUACCAAUGAGCUCGGCUUCCCUGACUCCCUUGCAGCUAGGGUUGACCAUGUUACAAAGGUCAGCCAGUGAGAUGCACAUGGAGUCACAGGCUAAGGCUUCUGAGAAGGUUUCUUAAAGGAAAAGCAGCUGAUGUGUUAUUUGCCCUUCUCCCUUCUCCCUGGGCACAGAGCUGGAGUGCAGAAGUAGAAACCAUCUUGACGCCACAAGAUAAAUGCCACAUGCUAAGUGUAACAGAAGAGAAAUCUAGAACAAGCCUGUAACCUGAUUGCACUGUGGAGCUGCCAUCAGCCUUGAGUGGCUUCCCCCAAAAAACCUUCUGUUAUAGGAGAACAGUGAAACUCUAUUCAGUUGAGCCAUCACACUCACGCUUCAGUUUCAGAGGGCCAUCUGGACCCAGUCCUAAUUGAUGCGGUCCUCCAAUAUAUCAGACCCUGGACAGAAGGCCAAGAGGCCAGAGUUUCAGUCCUGGCUCUGUCCUUAUUUAUGAGUGUGGGACUUAGGUAAACCAUCCAGGAACCCAAGCCUUAAACUGGGGGUAAACUAACUGCCAAAACAACAUCUCACAGACUGUGUUGAAACUAAAAUUAUUUAAAAGUAUUUGAAAAGUAUUAACGUUAUUAGGAAAGUACAGAAAGGGGUUAACUCAGUAAGGCCGGGCUUAAGACAUUGAGAAAAUGUGGUGUUUGGAAUUCAAAGUCUAUGAAAGGACGGUUGGGCACGGUGGCUCACACCAGUAAUCACAGCACUUUGGGAGGCCGAGGCAGGUGGAUCACCUGAGGUCCCAAGAGUUCGAGACCAGCCUGGCCAACAUGAUGAAACCCCCCUUCUACUAAAAAUACAAAAAUUAGCCAGUCGUGGUGGUGCAUGUGUGUAGUUCCAGCUACUCGGUACAAUGAGGGCACAAGAAUCACUUGAACCUGGGAGGCAGAGAUUGCAGUGGG
rnacentral:lncRNA from 1 species